rnacentral:hammerhead_ribozyme from 1 species
GUACUGAUGAAGAGUCCCAAACUAGGGCGAAACAUCUGUUCAGUAC